rnacentral:rRNA from 1 species
CUACGGGUUGCUGCAGCAAGGAAUUUUGCGCAAUGGGCGAAAGCCUGACGCAGCAACGCCGCGUGGGGGAAGAAGGCCUUCGGGUCGUAAACCCCUUUUCCCAGGGAAGAAAACUGACGGUACCUGGGGAAUAAGUCUCGGCUAACUACGUGCCAGCAGCCGCGGUAAUACGUAGGAGGCGAGCGUUAUCCGGAUUCAUUGGGCGUAAAGGGGGUGCAGGUGGUUUUUCAAGUCGGUUGUAAAAUCUCCCGGCUCAACUGGGAGGGACCAUCCGAUACUGGGAAGCUUGAGAGCAGCAGAGGAAAGCGGAAUUCCCGGUGGAGUGGUGAUAUGCGUAGAUAUCGGGAAGAACACCAGUGGCGAAGGCGGCUUCCUGGGCUGUUUCUGACGCUGAGACCCGAAAGCGUGGGGAGCGAACAGGAUUAGAUACCCGUGUAGUC